GAUGAACGCUGGCGGCGUGCCUAAUACAUGCAAGUCGAGCGAAUGGAUUAAGAGCUUGCUCUUAUGAAGUUAGCGGCGGACGGGUGAGUAACACGUGGGCAAUCUGCCCUUGACUCUGGGAUAACUGCGGGAAACUGUAGCUAAUACCGGAUACUUUCGCUGGAAGGCAUCUUCUGGUGAAGAAAGAAUUUCGGUCAAGGAUGAGCUCGCGGCCUAUCAGCUUGUUGGUGAGGUAACGGCUCACCAAGGCGACGACGGGUAGCCGGCCUGAGAGGGCGAGCGGCCACACUGGGAGUGAGACACGGCCCAGACUCCUACGGGAGGCAGCAGUGGGGAAUAUUGCACAAUGGGCGCAAGCCUGAUGCAGCAACGCCGCGUGAGAGAUGAAGGCCUUCGGGUUGUAAACCUCUUUUAGCAGGGAAGAAGCGAAAGUGACGGUACCUGCAGAAAAAGCACCGGCUAACUACGUGCCAGCCGCCGCAGUAA
rnacentral:rRNA from 1 species